CCGACAGUGGCCUAGGAAUAAAUUAAUCCAGCUGCUAUAUUAAAAGGCCCAGCAGAGGCCUAGGAAUAAGUAAUCCAGUGGAUACAUUAAAAGACACAGAAGCCUCUGAAUAAGUGACUCCAGUGCUUAUAUUAAAAGGCCCAGCAGAGGCCUAGGAAUAAGUAACCCAGUGGAUAUAUUAAAAGACACAGAGGCCUUGGAAUAAGACACAGAAG